CUUGUUAUCAGGCCCUUGGGAUAGUCAGUGGGUUCCCUCUCAAACUGACAUCCACACGUAGGGCUCCAGGACAGAAGUAGCAAAUGAACAUCCUCUCCUCUGCUGACCCCUGCCAAAAGCUGCAGUAACCCUUCGUGUGCCUUGCUGGAUUAGCGUAGAUUCAUUUCCCUAGAUGACUGUUUUCCAAUUGGAAGACCUGAGAUUGUUGCUGUUAUCAACUUUGGCCAAGGAGACUUCAUUUGCUGUGGAUGGCUGCUACUGAAGAAACUCAAAACUGGUCAAACUGAUGAGUAUAAACGCCUGUUGAAUGCUCAGCCCUAAACGAGACAUCCCUAUCACUCCCCCCUUGUCUCCGGGAGCAUUGAAAAGAGAAUGAAGUGCUGUAGAACACUGUCCUAAGGACACGACAGCGUCCUGAUCUCUUCAACUCUCAAUGCCUGUGAUUAUAAGCAGCAGACUCACACAAGGCCCGGCCCACUAACAUUCUGUUUUUGAAGACUGGGUCUCACUAUAUAAUCCUGGUCAACCUGAAAUUUGCUAUGUAGACCAGGUUGGCUUAGAAGAUCUGUUGGUCUCUAUCUUCUAAGUCCUGGACUUAAAGGAUUGUUAUCAUCACACCCAGCUGUGUGCACCAGGCAGUCCUCAAACUCACAGAGCUCCACCUACUGUACCUGUACCUCUUGAGUGCUGGGAUUCAGAUGGCGCAGUCCUUCUCGGGCAAGGAACACGUUUCCGUCACGGGACUUCUAACAGCUUGGCCUGGUGGUUGAUUCUGGGCAAGUCACGGAGUCUUCUGGAGCUGUGUAUGUGUGAAGGAGAGGACUCUCCUUGACACUCGCUGUAAAGCCGGUAUUCUAGGUGUGGGCUUUGGAAGGAAAUGAUAUCCCCUUGGUUCCCACCCCUGGCGGGACGAACCUGUGUGCAAAAACACAAAGUCCUCUGGGGAAAGCAGCUUUUGGCAUCGGUUUUUAUGAUGAAAUCGGGGAAGCGGGCUAAUUUAAUUCUUCACAAAAUGUAGGGAAAAUGUAAUCCUUAGAGUAAUUUGGGGAAAUUCCGAUGUAAAACAUCAUGUGAAUAAAUAAAGCCGGGAUGGUUGUGC
rnacentral:lncRNA from 1 species